UUUUUUUUUUUUUUUUUUUUUUUGAGACGGAGUCUUGCUCUGUCACCAGGCUGCAGUGCACCUGGGCAACAGAGUGAGACUCCAUCUCAAAAAACAAAACAAAACAAAACAAAAAUACAAACAGCCAGGCAUGGUGGUGGACGCCUACAAUCCCAGCACUUUGGGAGACCAAGGCGGGAGGAUCACCUGAGGUCAGGAGUUUGAGGCCAGCCUGGCCAACAUGGCAAAACCCCGUCUCUACUAAAAAUACAAACAUUAGCUAGGCGUGGUGGUGGACGCUUGUAAUCUCAGCUACACAGGAGGCUGAGGCACGAGAAUCACUUGAACCCAUGACGCAGAGGUUGCUGUGAGCUGAGAUCGUGCCACUGCACUCCAGCCUGCAGCCUGAGAGACAGAGCGAGACUCCGUCUCAAAGAAAAAAAAAAAAAUUAUUCCACAGAUAAAAGCCAUUAAAAAAUGUUAAGGAGAGUAACAGUACUGCUAUGUGUUUUACAAAAAUCUCUUUUAAUAGCUAUGUGGAGGCUAGAAAACUAAAGGGGCUUUUGUACUAGUCCAGGUAAAGACAAUGCCAGUCUAAAUUAAGACAAAGCAAGAGGGGCUAAAGAAGAGGAGGAGGAGGCAGCUUUGGGAAGUGAAAUCGCCAAGACUGGGUAACAGAUGGAUGUGGCAAGAGCAAAAACAGGACAAGAACGACUUCCACGAUGACUGAGUGACACCAUUAAUAGGGCAUACAGAGCAGGCAGUUUUGGGCAGAAAGGCAAACUGAAUUUGGAUAUGGUGAUAUUUCAAGAGCUUAAGGAAUAUCCCAGUGCUAAGGUCCAGUCUGUUCAGCACAGAGGCUGGGCAGCAGAUAAGGACUUGAAGGUUAUAGUUGCACAAGCGGUGGGUUCAAGCUGGAGACAUUAAUAAAUGUGUUCUGGGAGAGCAUGAAGAGUGAGAAGACGACCGGGCCAGUGAAAACCUUCAGUGGCAGGAGGAGAGGUUGGUCAGAGGGUACAAAGUUAGUCAAGAAUAAGCUCUUGUGUUCUAGUGUACAGUAAGAUGACUAUAGGCGACAAUAAUGUAUUGUAUCCUUCCAAAUAGCUAGAAGAGAGGAUUUUCCAUGUUCUCACCACAAACGUGAGAGGUGACGGGUAUGCUAAUUACCCUGAUUUGACCAUUACACAAUGUAUAUAUGUAUCAAACCAUCACUGUACCCCAUAGAUAUGUACAAUUAUUAUUUGUCAAUUUAAAAUGAAGUAAAACUUUUAUAAAAAAGAAAACAAAAUUAGGGGGGAUGCUAACAUUUAAGCCUCGGCAU
rnacentral:lncRNA from 1 species